UGAAUUCACUACUGUAAGUCGCUCUGGAUAAGAGCGUCUGCUAAAUGACAAAUG
rfam:Salmo salar isolate Sally breed double haploid chromosome ssa18, whole genome shotgun sequence.